rnacentral:rRNA from 1 species
GACGAACGCUGGCGGCGUGCUUAACACAUGCAAGUCGAACGAUGAACCCGGAGCUUGCUCCGGUGGAUUAGUGGCGAACGGGUGAGUAACACGUGAGUAACCUGCCCUUGACUCUGGGAUAACUGCGGGAAACUGUAGCUAAUACCGGAUACGACCCUCGGCGGCAUCGCCAGGGGGUGGAAAGAAUUUCGGUCAAGGAUGGACUCGCGGCCUAUCAGCUAGUUGGUGAGGUAACGGCUCACCAAGGCGACGACGGUUAGCCGGCCUGAGAGGGUGACCGGCCGCACUGGGACGGAGACACGGCCCAGGCUCCUACGGGAGGAGGCGGGGGGGAAUAUUGGCCAAUGGGCGCAAGUCUUAUGUAGCAACGCCGCGGGAGGGAUGACGGCCUUCGGGUUGUAAACCUCUUUUAGUAGGGAAGAAGCGAAAGUUACGGUACCUGCAGAAAAAGCACCGGCUAACUACGUGCCAGCAGCCGCCGUAA